UACGAAGGGGGCUAGCGUUGCUCGGAAUCACUGGGCGUAAAGCGCACGUAGGCGGCUUUCUAAGUCAGGGGUGAAAUCCUGGAGCUCAACUCCAGAACUGCCUUUGAUACUGGAGUGCUGAGUCCGGGAGAGGUGAGUGGAACUGCGAGUGUAGAGGUGAAAUUCGUAGAUAUUCGCAAGAACACCAGUGGCGAAGGCGGACUCACUGGCCCGGUACUGACGCUGAGGUGCGAAAGCGUGGGGAGCA
rnacentral:rRNA from 1 species